UGGUACAAGCUCAAGCCACAAUUAAUCCUUGCCUUGUUCUUUGCUCUAUGUAACCUUCAUAUGCGCUCCUUCGCAGGCUGUUAACCUGUACAUUGGAUAACCCUUGCUGAUGCCAGACUUCGCUCUCUGCAUCGUUUUGCUUAAUUGGAUUACCAACUUCUGGAGAAAGGAUUCCUGUGGUCGUGGGUUAAGAUUCCUGUUUCCUUCAUCCGGACAAAGACCAACUGGCAGCUUCCUACUUCACCGACAUCCGUACCAAAGCAUAAGCGUAACCUGUUCACCCUCCAACAGCAGCAACGACAAACUAACCAACAGAUGGCUUCUAUGCUACAACACUCCCUAAGCACUCAGUCCUCCUCAAGUGUAAAUGACGCUAUAGCUUCUUCGGUCUCUCAGCAGCUUCCUCACUCUCGUGAUGUCAUUUCCCCUAACCCCGAAAUGUUUUCCGGAGAGGUGACGUUUCAUCAAUGACUAUAGUCUGACAGCCGCCCCCGUUACUGCAUUAACCUCCACAAAGGUUACAUUCUCCUGGACACCGGAAGCUGACAGCGCUUUCCGGGCUUUAAAGAAGAAGUUCUCUCAAGCUCCCAUCUUGGUGCACCCAGAUUCCUCUAAACAGUUUAUUUUGGAGGUUGAUGCUUCAGACAUUGGGGUCAGAGUGGUGCUGUCACAAAAUUCAGAAAAUGGAAGACUUCACCCUUGUGCUUUUUAUUUUUAUUUUUUUUUUCCCCCACGGACUAAGUUCCACAGAAAUAAAUCAUCAUGUGGGAGACAGAACUAUUGGCUAUCAAAUUAGCCUUAGAAGAAUGGCAUCACUGGCUUGAGGGUGCGGAGCAUCCCAUUUUGGACAGAUCAUAAAAACCUGGCCUACCUCCAGUGAGCCAAAAAAUUAAAUCCGUGUCAGUCCUGUUGGUCCUUGUUCUUUUCUCGUUUUGAUCUGUGCAUCUCUUUCAGACCUGGCCCCAAGAACACAAAACCUGAUGCUCUCUCCAGACAGUUCGCUGUAAAUGAUUCAGAGAAGGAACCAGCUCCCCUCCUGCCUCCAGUUGGAUGGUUGGGGCACUCAGGUGGGAGAUGGAGGACAUUAUAGCCAAGGCUCAGCAACACAAACCCGAUCCAGGCACGGGACCACCCAAUCGUACCUAUGUACCUUCUGGUGUUCGCUCUAAACUCAUCCAUUGGCUUCAUACAGCAAAGUUUUCAGCACAUCCUGGAGUAAGCAGAAUUACGUCAUUGGUACUGAGAAGAUUCUGGUGGCCAUCUGUACACAGAUGUGAGGGAAUUCGUUCAAGUCUGCACUUCAUGUGCCAGAAACAAGACUAACAAUCAACCACCCUCGGGUCUUCUCCUGCCUCUCAGCAUUCCUAACCAGCUUUGGUCCCACAUUGCUCUAGAUUUUGUAACUGGCCUUCCCCUCUCACAAGGUAUGACCACUGUACCCACAAUUAUAGAUCGCUUUUCUAAAGCGUGCCAUCUCGUUCCUCUUAGAAAGCUCCCGUCGGCACUUCAGACGGCCAGGCUCCUCACUAAGCAUGUUUCGACUGCGUGGGAUUCCACAGGACAUUCUAUCGGAUCGUGGGCCACAGUUCGUUUUUCAUGCGUGGAAACAAUGUUGUAUUGCCUUAGGAGCCAAAGUUUCUCUGACUUCAGGGUAUCACCCCCAAGCAAAUGGUCAAACAGAAAGGAUGAACCAGCAGCUGGAGUCCACUUUACGCUGUUUCACGUCCACUAAUCCCACUGAGUGGUGUUCUUACUUACCGUGGGUUGAGUAUGCUUUAAAUUCGCAUAUCUCUUCAGCUACAGGUCGCUCUCCCUUCGAAUCAUCCCUUGGUUAUCAACCACCUCUGUUUCCAGCUGAUGAGAAACAGAUAACGGUUUCCACAGUCCAUCAACAUGUCCGCCACUGCAAAUCCAUCUGGAACUCUACUAUCCAAGCCCUCCAGCGAACCACAGAACAAAAUAAGCAUUUUGCCGACCAUUUUCACUUGUUUAAGGAAAUAAACCUUCCUCAUUUAUCCAGUUUACGCUUCUGAGCGUUUCUCUGCAUGUGGGUCAGAACUAUUAUGAGCAAAAUGACAAGAUAGAUAAUAGUAGAAACUUUUCAAUGAAAUGGAAAGAAAUGGCGAGUAAUCAUUUUUAUAUGUGGACAGCCAAAAGUGGUCACUGACUUCUAAAGAUAAUGUAUUACCUUGCUUUUGUCUGCUACAUCUGUCAUACAAUAUAUCCCUUUACAUAUGGAGGAUGUCAAUACAUUUUCUUUUUGUUGAGCCUAUAAACAUACAUGGCAAAGAAAGAAUUUAAUUCACAUUAAAGCCUACCUUAAAUUUGCAAAACAAGCAGUGCUGCUGUCUGCACACACGCCAACGUCUGCAGAAUACCAAAGACGUGCCAGUGGAACAUCUUUGGUAUUCUGCACAGCUUCAAGCUCCAUGAGCUUACCUGUUUUGCUGACAGCUUGACCUUUUGCUAUAUAUUGCCCCAAUCAUGCUGCCCUAGAUACUGUAUUCAUCACACACAAGUUGUACUAUGUAGAAAAACAUACCAAACCACCUACCCCACAACCACUCAAUGCGCAAACACUACUAAUCCAAUCAGGUGGCCAGACAAAUGCCUACAUGUUCACCAUGGGAGAAUGCUUUAAUUGAUACGGAUUCCUCUGUGCUCUAAGUUGGCAUUUGGUAUGUGCUUCUUCUGUCUGGCUGUUUCAUAUAAUUUUUGUUCUUCUUGGUUUUUUCAACAAAUUCACUUUUUUUAUUAAAUCUCAUUAAUGUGUUUCAAGUCAGGUUCUUGAUCACACCAAUGUACUAAGGCUACACAGGUAAAUAUUUCAAAUCAUAUGUCUUAACAACAAUGUAUAGAACUUUGUCUCACUAUCAUUACAUCUCAGUGAUCUGUUAAACAUGGUUGAUUAUAACAUGCUUGAUGGGAGAAAUGAAUAGAUCUGUCUCCUACUGUGCUAUAUUAGUCCACAUCUCACUUGGCAGAUUGGGACUUAUUUGUGUCAUUUGUAAAUUAUGAAUCUGAGCUAACAAACAUCACAUGUGGGGUACAUCAAGGCUCCAUCUUUGAGUCACCUUUAUUCAGUUUCUUUCUGCACCACCUAGCUCAAUCAUAUUUACAUUUUUGCAUAUGCUGACGACACAACUUUGUUUCUUUCCCAUCAUUUGACCACUAUCUCUUACAGUUCUAAACUAUCCUUUCAUAACAUCAAUAAAAGAAUAGGUGAGAAUAAUUUUUUUUGUUUAGCUCUGCAAUAAAUGUACAGGAAAUGCUGGGAUGAACAGAAAAUGGCCUGGAAAUAUUAAUGUUUACUGCAGCUUUCCAUUAAGGCCAAAUAUUAUUUUAUUAGUUUAUUUUUUCAUUCUGUAU